rnacentral:rRNA from 1 species
ACGCCGACACCUACGGGAGCAGCAGUGGGGAAUAUUGCACAAUGGGGGAAACCCUGAUGCAGCGACGCCGCGUGAGCGAAGAAGUAUCUCGGUAUGUAAAGCUCUAUCAGCAGGGAAGAAGAUGACGGUACCUGACUAAGAAGCACCGGCUAAAUACGUGCCAACAGCCGGCGGUAAUCUGAGCGGGCUGGCGAAGGC